rnacentral:piRNA from 1 species
UCUAUCUUUGCAUGAUUCUCAUUGGUGGU